AUAUUGUCAGCAGUUACAUAAGGCUAGUGCCCCCUUUGAUAAGUAUGGAAGAGGUCCUAUUGGCCUUUAGAACACACAUAUGGUUAAGACAUUGCCACUUACUUUUUGGCAUUUAACCAAGUUUUUUA
ensembl:snRNA U6atac minor spliceosomal RNA